rnacentral:rRNA from 2 species
AACUUGAGUGCAGAAGAGGACAGUGGAACUCCAUGUGUAGCGGUGAAAUGCGUAGAUAUAUGGAAGAACACCAGUGGCGAAGGCGGCUGUCUGGUCUGUAACUGACGCUGAGGCUCGAAAAGCAUGGGUAGCGAACAGGAUUAGAUACCCUGGUAGUCCAUGCCGUAAACGAUGAAUGCUAGGUGUUGGAGGGUUUCCGCCCUUUCAGUGCCGCAGCUAACGCAUUAAGCAUUCCGCCUGGGGAGUACGACCGCAAGGUUGAAACUCAAAGGAAUUGACGGGGGCCCGCACAAGCGGUGGAGCAUGUGGUUUAAUUCGAAGCAACGCGAAGAACCUUACCAGGUCUUGACAUCUUUUGAUCACCUGAGAGAUCAGGUUUCCCCUUCGGGGGCAAAAUGACAGGUGGUGCAUGGUUGUCGUCAGCUCGUGUCGUGAGAUGUUGGGUUAAGUCCCGCAACGAGCGCAACCCUUAUGACUAGUUGCCAGCAUUUAGUUGGGCACUCUAGUAAGACUGCCGGUGACAAACCGGAGGAAGGUGGGGAUGACGUCAAAUCAUCAUGCCCCUUAUGACCUGGGCUACACACGUGCUACAAUGGAUGGUACAACGAGUUGCGAGACCGCGAGGUCAAGCUAAUCUCUUAAAGCCAUUCUCAGUUCGGACUGUAGGCUGCAACUCGCCUACACGAAGUCGGAAUCGCUAGUAAUCGCGGAUCAGCACGCCGCGGUGAAUACGUUCCCGGGCCUUGUACACACCGCCCGUCACACCAUGAGAGUUUGUAACACCCGAAGCCGGUGGCGUAACCCUUUUAGGGAGCGAGCCGUCUAAGGUGGGACAAAUGAUUAGGGUGAA